GAUGAACGCUAGCGGCAGGCUUAAUACAUGCAAGUCGAGGGGCAGCACGGGUAGCAAUAUCUGGUGGCGACCGGCGCACGGGUGCGUAACACGUAUGUAAUCUACCUGUAACCGGGGCAUAGCUCAGAGAAAUCUGGAUUAAUUCCCCAUAACAUAUUGAACAGGCAUCUGUUUAAUAUUAAAGCUCCGGCGGUUACAGAUGAACAUGCGGAACAUUAGCUGGUUGGUGAGGUAACGGCUCACCAAGGCUACGAUGUUUAGGGGUUCUGAGAGGAUGAUCCCCCACACUGGUACUGAGACACGGACCAGACUCCUACGGGUGGCAG
rnacentral:rRNA from 1 species